GUCAAUUCAGUGACGCACUCCAGACAUAGAGUCCCUAUUUAAGCAGAAUCCUACCUAACCUGAUGCUGAAACAUAAUGGCCAAAAGGGCCUUAAAGAAAGACAAGUAUCACCAAUAAUCUGGCUUCUGAUCAAUCUGUAAUAUGCAGAAGUUUUUCAGAUCUAAAUAAUCAUAUGAUAUUUUGACUAGGACACCAUCAUGAAGAUUACUUCUGUUUAAGAAGGGAGCAUUAGUCACAGAAGUGAAAUCCAGUUGAAAUGCU
rnacentral:lncRNA from 1 species